rnacentral:rRNA from 1 species
AUGAAUAAGGUCUCUGAAACAACAUUGGCUGUCAAGGUGUUUAAUCUCGGUAAAUCAAGGUAUGCCAAGAGUUUUGAGGCUGAAUGUGAGGCCAUGAGAAGGAUACGACACCGUUCUCUCAUUAAGAUCAUUACUUCUUGUUCGAGCAUGAACCACCAAGGUCAAGAAUACAAGGCGUUGUUCCUUAAGUUCAUGCCCAAUGAGUAUCGGGGAGUCAUUCCUGUCUCAACAGCUCGUGAUAUUAAUAGUCUUAACAUAUUACUGCUUGAGAUGUUUAGGGGAAGAAGCCAAACAGAAGGCACGUUCGGAGAUUCAUUGGAUCUGCACAAGUGUGUCGAGUAUGCUCUUCCAGAUAGAGCCUUGGAGAUAGCUGACAUGACAAUGUGGUUGCACAGCGGACAACACAAUAACACUAAAAGUGUUAGAAUUCAGGAGUUCUUGGUUUCAGUCUUGGGCCUUGGCAUAUCCUGCUCAAAGCAACAUCUUCGUGACCGAGAACUGACAAGUGAUGCAACUGCGGAGAUGCACACAAUCAGAGAUGUAUACCUCAAGUUCAUAGGGGAGCAUGGAGCAGAACGAGAAGCCUCGACUCAAAAUAUUCAGAGCAGCAUUGCAUAA